ensembl:lncRNA
AUGCACUAUAUAAGGAAAAGGGUGCAAUUUUGUACCCACGUUCAGCUAGCCAUCACAACAGCCACCAAUACAUCCACCACUACAGCCACCACCACUACAGCCACCACUACAUCCACCACUACAUCCACAACUACAGCCACCACCACUACAGCCACCACUACAGCCACCACCACGACAGCCACCACUACAGCCUCCAUCACUACAGCAACCACCACUACAGCCACCACCACUACAUCCACCACUACAUUCACCACUACAGCCACCACUACAGCCACCACCACUACAUUCACCACUACAGCCACCACCACUACAUUCACCACUACAGCCACCACCACUACAUCCACCACUACAGCCACCACCACUACAGCCGCAACUACAUCCACCACUACGGCCACCACUACAUCCACCACUACAGCCACCACCACUACAGCCACCACCACUACAGCCACCACUACAUUCACAACUACAGCCACCAACACUACAGCCACCAACACUACUGCCACCACCACUACAGCCACCACCACUACAUCCACCACUACAUUCACAACUACAGCCACCAACAAUACUGCCACCACCACUACAGCCACCACCACCACAUCCACCACUACAUUCACAACUACAGCCACCAACAAUACUGCCACCACCACUACAGCCACCACCACUACAGCCACCACCACUACAUCCACCACUACAGCCUCCACCACUACAGCCACCAACACUACAGCCACCAACACUACAGCCACCACCAAUACAGCCACAACCACUACAUCCACCACUACAGCCUCCACCACUACAGCCACCACCACUACAGCCACCACCACUACAGCCACCACCACUACAUCCACCACUACAGCCACCACCACUACAGCCACCAACACUACAGCCACUACUACAUCCACCACUACAGCCACCACUACAUCCACCACUACAGCCACUACUACAUCCACCACUACAGCCACCACCACUACAGCCUCCACCAGUACAGCCACCACCACUACAGCCACCACCACUACAUCUACCACUACAGCCACCACCACUACAGCCACCAACACUACAGCCACCACCACUACAGCCACCAACACUACAGCCACCACCAAUACAGACAUCAACACUACAGCCACUACUACAUCCACCACUACAUCCACCACUACAGCCACCACCACUACAGCCACCACCACUAUAGCCUCCACCACUAUAGCCUCCACCACUACAUCCACCCCAACUACAACCACCACCACUACAGCCACCAACACUACUGCCACCACCACUACAUCCACCACUAAAGCCACCACCACUACAGCCACCAACACUACAGCCACCACUACAGCCACCACCACUACAUCCACCACUACAUCCACCACUACAGCCACCACCACUACAGCCACCACCACUACAGCAACCACCACUACAGCCACCACCACUACAGCCACCACCACUACAUCCACCACUACAGCCACCACCACUACAUCCACCACUACAGCCACCAACACUACAGCCACCACCACUACAUCCACCACUACAUCCACCACUACAGCCACCACCACUACAGGCACCACCACUACAUCCACCACUACAGCCACCACCACUACAUCCACCACUACAGCCACCACUACAUCCACCACUACAGCCACCACUACAUCCACCACUACAGCCACCACCACUACAUCCACCAACACUAAAGCCUCCACCACUUCAGCCACCACCAGAGUUGUUUUUAGGCCUAAGCAAAUCCUUCUGUCUUGGACAGUCUAUUUCUGCAGAGGGCUGCUCAUCUCCCCACCUCAGUAUAGCAUUGUGGAGAGAGAGAGGGGGGAGGGAAAGAGGGGAGAGGGGGAGAGAAAGAGGGGAGAGGGAGAGAGAAGUAAGAGAGUGGCUAGUUAA